AGACGAACGCUGGCGGCGUGCCUAACACAUGCAAGUCGAACGAAGCUUGACGGAUGAUUUCUUCGGAAUGAAACCAGAUAUGACUUAGUGGCGGACGGGUGAGUAACACGUGAGCAACCUGCCUUUCAGAGGGGGAUAACGGCUGGAAACGGUCGCUAAUACCGCAUGAUGUGUUCGGAUGGCAUCAUCUGAACAUCAAAGAUUUAUCGCUGAAAGAUGGGCUCGCGUCUGAUUAGAUAGUUGGUGGGGUAACGGCCUACCAAGUCUACGAUCAGUAGCCGGACUGAGAGGUUGAACGGCCACAUUGGGACUGAGAUACGGCCCAGACUCCUACGGGAGGCAGCAGUGGGGAAUAUUGCACAAUGGGGGAAACCCUGAUGCAGCAACGCCGCGUGAAGGAUGACGGUUUUCGGAUUGUAAACUUCUUUUCUUAGUGACGAAGACAGUGACGGUAGCUAAGGAAUAAGCAUCGGCUAACUACGUGCCAGCAGCCGCGGUAAUACGUAGGAUGCAAGCGUUAUCCGGAUUUACUGGGUGUAAAGGGAGCGCAGGCGGGACUGCAAGUUGGAUGUGAAAUACCGUGGCUUAACCACGGAACUGCAUCCAAAACUGUAGUUCUUGAGUGAAGUAGAGGCAAGCGGAAUUCCGAGUGUAGCGGUGAAAUGCGUAGAUAUUCGGAGGAACACCAGUGGCGAAGGCGGCUUGCUGGACUUUAACUGACGCUGAGGCUCGAAAGUGUGGGGAGCAAACAGGAUUAGAUACCCUGGUAGUCCACACUGUAAACGAUGAUAGCUAGGUGUGGGGGGUCUGACCCCU
rnacentral:rRNA from 1 species